rnacentral:rRNA from 1 species
GGGACGAACGCUGGCGGCGUGCUUAACACAUGCAAGUCGAGCGACGCUCUUCCUUCGGGAAGAUGACGGAGCGGCGAACGGGUGAGUAACACGUGGGCAACCUGCCCCUAGCUCUGGGACAACUCCUCGAAAGAGGGGCUAAUACCGGAUACGACCUCGGAAGACAUCUUCUGAGGUGGAAAGUUUUUCGGCUAGGGAUGGGCCCGCGGCCUAUCAGCUUGUUGGUGAGGUAACGGCCCACCAAGGCGACGACGGGUA